CCUACGGGGGGCAGCAGUGGGGAAUAUUGGACAAUGGGCGCAAGCCUGAUCCAGCCAUGCCGCGUGUGUGAUGAAGGCCUUAGGGUUGUAAAGCACUUUCACUGGGGAAGAUAAUGACGGUACCCAGAGAAGAAGCCCCGGCUAACUUCGUGCCAGCAGCCGCGGUAAUACGAAGGGGGCUAGCGUUGUUCGGAAUCACUGGGCGUAAAGCGCACGUAGGCGGACACUUAAGUCAGAGGUGAAAUCCCAAGGCUCAACCUUGGAACUGCCUUUGAUACUGGGUGUCUUGAGGUCGGAAGAGGUAAGUGGAACUGCGAGUGUAGAGGUGAAAUUCGUAGAUAUUCGCAAGAACACCAGUGGCGAAGGCGGCUUACUGGUCCGAUACUGACGCUGAGGUGCG
rnacentral:rRNA from 1 species